CCAGCGGGGUGACCCGGGCCGGCUCCUAAUGGGAGCUGCAGGCUCUGCGCCCCAGGAAGCGCGGCCGUGGGUCCUGCACCCACCCGCAGAGCUGAAUCAUCUCAGCUGGGGCGAGCCCCGGAUCCUCCCGUGGAGAGCAGGUGGCAGGGGCGUCCACCGAGCGCCCCAAGCACCUUCCUCGGGAUCGCGGCGCUCAGCUCUGAAUUUCUGUCAUCAGGGACGCACCGAAGCCAAGGGUCCAGCUGCGGGCACAGCGGCCGAGGUGACUGUCGGGGCACUCGAAUCCCAUUUCGGGGUGUCUGGGUUGGAGCCCCUGACUCCAGCUUCCUGCCAGUCAGACCCUGGGAAGCAGCAGGCGAUGGCUCACGGACUUGGGUCCCUGCUGCCCACGGGAGACCCGGAUGGAGAUCCUGGCUCCUGCUUUCAGCUCGACUCAGCCUGGCUGUCACAGAUAUUGGUUGGGAGGUCUCUCUCCGUCUCAAAAUAAAUAAAUAUUAAAAUG